rnacentral:rRNA from 1 species
ACGAACGCUGGCGGCGUGCUUAACACAUGCAAGUCGAACGGAAAGGCCCUGCUUUUGUGGGGUGCUCGAGUGGCGAACGGGUGAGUAACACGUGAGUAACCUGCCCUUGACUUUGGGAUAACUUCAGGAAACUGGGGCUAAUACCGGAUAGGAGCUCCUGCUGCAUGGUGGGGGUUGGAAAGUUUCGGCGGUGGGGGAUGGACUCGCGGCUUAUCAGCUUGUUGGUGGGGUAGUGGCUUACCAAGGCUUUGACGGGUAGCCGGCCUGAGAGGGUGACCGGCCACAUUGGGACUGAGAUACGGCCCAGACUCCUACGGGAGGCAGCAGUGGGGAAUAUUGCACAAUGGGCGGAAGCCUGAUGCAGCAACGCCGCGUGCGGGAUGACGGCCUUCGGGUUGUAAACCGCUUUCGCCUGUGGCGAAGCGUGAGUGACGGUAAUGGGUAAAGAAGCACCGGCUAACUACGUG